GUAAGUUGUUGCACAUUUUCAUAGUAAUUAACUAUUUAACUAUGUAUUAGUGAGGAAUAAUUUUUGGGAACAUUAUUUUGUGGAGACGGGGAAGAUGGAAUGAAAGCAGGAAGUUGUUCUAAUAGAGGAGAAUCACUUUUACUAAGUUGCACAAAAUAUUUUGAUAUUUUAAAGUUACACAACAUUAAAUCACUUUUACCAAGUUACAUUAAAUAUUUUGAUAUUUUAAAAAGCUCGUUUAAACAUCUUUUCCAAAACUAAGUUGCAUGCUAUAAUAGAAAUAAAAUUUUACAUGAUAAGCCAUCCCCAAGUCCCAACAACUGCGAUCAAUCUUCCCUUUUACAGCCAGAACCCAUCGUCUUUGUCACACAUCGAUCCCUGCUAUGUUUGCCAUUCCCUUCAAUCUUUCCCUUAAUGGGUCCUUCUCGAUUCUUGCUUUUUAUCACAGCUUCAGUUCUUCUCCUUGUUGCUUCAGCUUCAGCUUCAGCAUGCUCCCAUGGACAGCGCAGGAUGUUGGAGAAAUGCUCGUCGGACCAAGAUUGCGACGCUGGGCUCUAUUGUUUCUAUUGUGUGGAAGGAUUUUCAAGUUAUAAAUGUGUGAGGUCGUCUGCGACAGACCAAUUCAAGUUUCUGGUACUCUCAACUUUGUUUCUUCCCUUCUCUUCCUCUUUU